rnacentral:lncRNA from 1 species
GGGGAAAAUCAUCACAUUUCAAUUAGUGAUUCAAAUUUAUUUUGUAGGGUGACCCUGGUGGAAUUAUGGGACCACCUGGACAUCCAGGUCCAAAAGGAGAUAUGGGGCCUCCUGGACCAAGUCUGCCUGGAACACCAGGUCCCACUGGUGUUCCUGGAAACCCAGGUCCAAGGGGGCCAAAGGGAGAAAGAGGACUACCUGGUGUACAGGGAGCACCUGGGGAGAUGGGGCCCCCUGGAAUAGGCAUUCAGGGAUCACCAGUAAGUAAACCAACACCCAGAAUUUGAUCUUCUUGCUGUUCAACACUGAGCAACUGCAAAAGGUAAACAGAGCACAGCAAAAAAGCCAUGAACUCCCUUCUGGCCUGACUCUCAACUCCCACUUUGCUU